CACAGAGGUCUCAAGCGUUGUUCGGAUUCAUUGGGCGUAAAGGGCGCGUAGGCGGGAUGGCAAGUCGGUCGUGAAAUCCUUCGGCUCAACCGAAGAACGUCGGCCGAUACUGCCGUUCUUGAGGGAUGCAGAGGAGAUUGGAAUUCCCGGUGUAGCGGUGAAAUGUGUAGAGAUCGGGAGGAACACCGGUGGCGAAGGCGGGUCUCUGGGCAUCUCCUGACGCUGAGGCGCGAAAGCGUGGGGAGCAAACGGG
rnacentral:rRNA from 1 species